UACAGAGGUCUCAAGCGUUGUUCGGAUUCAUUGGGCGUAAAGGGUGCGUAGGCGGCGUGGUAAGUCGGGUGUGAAAUCUCGGAGCUUAACUCCGAAACUGCAUUCGAUACUGCCGUGCUUGAGGACUGGAGAGGAGACUGGAAUUUACGGUGUAGCGGUGAAAUGCGUAGAUAAUCGUAAGGAAGACCAGUGGCGAAGGGCGGGUCUCU
rnacentral:rRNA from 1 species